rnacentral:rRNA from 1 species
AAACGUAGGAGGCGAGCGUUAUCCGGAUUUAUUGGGCGUAAAGCGCGUGCAGGUAGUAUCGUAAGUCGGAUGUGAAAGCCUCUGGCUCAACUGGAGGAUGUCGUUCGAUACUGCGGAACUUGAGGUCGGGAGAGGGAAGCGGAAUUCCCGGUGUAGUGGUGGAAUGCGUAGAUAUCGGGAGGAACACCAGUGGCGAAGGCGGCUUCCUGGCCCGCACCUGACACUAAGACGCGAAAGCGUGGGGAGCGAACGGGAUUAGAUACCCCGGUAGUCCACGCUGUAAACGAUGGGUACUGGGUAUUGGUGGUAUUGACCCCAUCAGUGCCGAAGCCAACGCGUUAAGUACCCCGCCUGGGGACUACGGCCGCAAGGUUAAA